rnacentral:rRNA from 1 species
GACGAACGCUGGCGGCGUGCUUAACACAUGCAAGUCGAGCGGAAAGGCCCUUUGGGGUACUCGAGCGGCGAACGGGUGAGUAACACGUGAGUAAUCUGCCCUGCACUUUGGGAUAACUGCCGGAAACGGUUGCUAAUACCGGAUAUGACUCCUUGCCGCAUGGUGGGGGGUGGAAAGUUUUUUCGGUGCGGGAUGUGCUCGCGGCCUAUCAGCUUGAUGGUGGGGUAAUGGCCUACCAUGGCUUCGACGGGUAGCCGGCCUGAGAGGGUGACCGGCCACACUGGGACUGAGACACGGCCCAGACUCCUACGGGAGGCAGCAGUGGGGAAUAUUGGACAAUGGGCGGAAGCCUGAUCCAGCAACGCCGCGUGAGGGAUGACGGCCUUCGGGUUGUAAACCUCUUUCACCUGUGACGAAGUCUCUGCUUUUUGGUGGGGGUGACGGUAGCGGGAGAAGAAGCACCGGCCAACUACGUGCCAGCAGCCGCAGUAAUAC